GCUGGGCUCAGUGGUGCCCGCCUGUAAUCCCAGCGGCUCAGGAGGCUGAGGCAGGGGGAUCGCAAGUUCAAAGCCAGCCUCAGCAAUGGCAAGGUACUAAGCAACUUAGUGAGACCCUGUCUAUA
rnacentral:sRNA from 1 species